rnacentral:ncRNA from 1 species
UUUCCCUCAGGUUAGCUGGCGCUCCAGCAGACAGCCUUUACUGCCCGCAGUUUUAUCGGGUAAAGGGAACGACCAAGAUUCUUGGGGCCAAAACGAUCUCAAGGUAUUCUCAAAAGGACAAUGGGUAAGAAGCUCGGGCCAUUCCCGUGGAGCUUCACGUGGAAUGCCAAAGUUCUUUGGGCCAUUUUUUGUAAGCAGAACUGUCGCUGCGGGAUCAGCCG